rnacentral:rRNA from 1 species
UCGUCCCAUGUUGCCAGCGGGUAAUGCCGGGGACUCGUGGGAGACUGCCGGGGACAACUCGGAGGAAGGUGGGGAUGACGUCAAGUCAUCAUGCCCCUUAUGUCCAGGGCUGCACACAUGCUACAAUGGCCGGUACAAUGGGUUGCUAUUCCGUGAGGAGGAGCCAAUCCCCAAAGCCGGUCUAAGUUCGGAUCGCAGUCUGCAACUCGACUGCGUGAAGCCGGAGUCGCUAGUAAUCCCGGAUCAGCAACGCCGGGGUGAA